UAAUUAUAUUAUAUUUAUAA
rnacentral:miRNA from 1 species